rnacentral:rRNA from 1 species
GAAUUUUGGACGAUGGGGGCAACCCUGAUCCAGCCAUCCCGCGUGUGCGAUGAAGGCCUUCGGGUUGUAAAGCACUUUUGGCAGGGAAGAAAAGGCUCUGGCUAAUACCUGGAGCUGCUGACGGUACCUGCAGAAUAAGCACCGGCUAACUACGUGCCAGCAGCCGCGGUAAUACGUAGGGUGCAAGCGUUAAUCGGAAUGACGGGGCGUAAAGCGUGCGCAGGCGGUUCGGCAAGAAGGAUGUGAAAUCCCAGGGCUUAACCUGGGAACUGCAUUCUUAACUGCCGGGCUAGAGUAUGUCAGAGGGGGGUAGAAUUCCGCGUGUAGCAGUGAAAUGCGUAGAGAUGCGGAGGAAUACCGAUGGCGAAGGCAAUCCCCUGGACCUGUACUGACGCUCAUGCACGAAAGCGUGGGGAGCAAACAG